CUUCAUUGACGGAGGGGUGGAAGUCGGAGACGGUGCUGGUGUUGCUGCCGCAGUCACAUAGUCUACAACGCGGUUGAGGAGAAAACCCUUGAGAGAAGCCCGAGAGACAGGUGAUGGGGAAGGGGCUCUAGGGUUGAUGAUCGAAGGCUUCGACGCUGACCGACGUGCAAAAGACCUAAGAAGAGAUGAUAAGACCUUGCGAGAAGCCAUGGAUGGGGGCUAUGGUUAGU